GAUGAACGCUGGCGGCGUGCCUAGUACAUGCAAGUCGAGCGAACAGACGAGGAGCUUGCUCCUCUGACGUUAGCGGCGGACGGGUGAGUAACACGUGGAUAACCUACCUAUAAGACUGGGAUAACUUCGGGAAACCGGAGCUAAUACCGGAUAAUAUAUUGAACCGCAUGGUUCAAUAGUGAAAGACGGUUUUGCUGUCACUUAUAGAUGGAUCCGCGCCGCAUUAGCUAGUUGGUAAGGUAACGGCUUACCAAGGCGACGAUGCGUAGCCGACCUGAGAGGGUGACCGGCCAAACUGGAACUGAGACACGGUCCAGAAUCCUACGGGAGGCAGAAGUAGGGAAUCUUCCGCAAUGGGCGAAAGCAUGAAGGAGCAACGCCGCGUGAGUGAUGAAGGUCUUCGGAUCGUAAAACUCUGUUAUUAGGGAAGAAAAAAUGUGUAAGUAACUAGGAACGUCUUGACGGUACCUAAUCAGAAAGCCACGGCUAACUAC
rnacentral:rRNA from 1 species